rnacentral:rRNA from 1 species
UACGUAGGUGACAAGCGUUGUCCGGAUUUACUGGGCGUAAAGAGCGCGCAGGCGGUCGUUCAAGUCGGGUGUGAAAGCCCCCGGCUCAACUGGGGAGGGUCACUCGAUACUGAUCGACUCGAAGGCAGGAGAGGGAAGUGGAAUUCCCGGUGUAGUGGUGAAAUGCGUAGAUAUCGGGAGGAACACCAGUGGCGAAGGCGACUUCCUGGCCUGUUCUUGACGCUGAGGCGCGAAAGCUAGGGGAGCAAACGGG